CCUCCCGGACAGGGGGCUCCACCCUGGCGCUGGGCUGGGAACGAUUCCUCCAGUCGGCUGCGCCGGCGGGGACCCUGCCAGGAAGGAGCUGCUCUCGCUCCGAGCCCGGCCCCUCGGGCUCCUCGGGUCCUAAGCAUCCCAGGCGAAGUCUUCCAAGUCUCAACAGAGUUCAAGGCCAUCGGCCUUCAAAAGAAGCCCCAACCCAGGGUGUGCGCCGGGUAGAAGACCGUAGGAGACCAGGGGUCGGGCAGAGGCUGCUUCCCACCCCCACCCCCGCAGCUCCCCGCUUCCUGGCGGGCAGGGAACAAGGUCCGGAGGCGGGGCCCGGAUCUCUCCAAGUGUCCCCGCGCGUUCUGCCUGCAUCCGGCCUCUGGCCGGCUGCGCUGAACCCUUCCUUCUAGCCUCGUCCUUCGGAGCUCGGGAGCUUCGAGUCGGCUUGUGGCUCCACGCACCAUUUACCUCCUUGAACUGCUUAUCUCCCUCAGGGCUGCUGUCUGCUUCUCGAGUUGUGUAAGAAUAAAGUUAAAGAGCGCAAGGACCCGAGUUCGAUCCCCGGUACCAAAAAAAAAAAAAAAAAAAAAAAGAAUAAAGUUAAAGAUGUGGGCUGAGGGCCGGGGAUUUAGCUCAGUGGUUCUGCCACCUGCCUCGAAAGUGAAAGGACCCGAGUUCGAUCUCCGGUACCAAAACAAAAAGAUGUGGGCUGGGGUGCAUUUUAAUGGUGGAGCGCUUCCCCAGCCUGACCCAGGCUCUGGGUUCCAUCCCAGCGCUUGGAAAAAACAAAUAAAAUAAAAACAAAAAAUGAGAGGAUGCGAAAUCUCUAAACCGAGGCUGUGCUUUCUAAUGUGCUAGUAGAGAGCCACAGAAGCAGCAUUUCUUUGGCCUCCCCAAAUGCCAGACCAAACGAGAGCGGCGGCUCUCCUGUCAGCAGGCACCCAGGACCUGGGACUGUUGUGGCAGAGGAAUGGGAUAGCCCCAGGAGGAUGGCCUCUGAGGCUGGCAAGGUGCAUCUUGCCUCUCCUUGCUCUUCUUAGCCAGGUUUCAAGGAUGGCCCAGGAGUAGGGAACAGGGGGUUCUGAGGAAGACAGCCAAAAAGAAAAGAGACCCUGGGGACAAAGGAACC
rnacentral:lncRNA from 1 species